rnacentral:rRNA from 1 species
AGUGAACGCUGGCGGUAGGCCUAACACAUGCAAGUCGAACGGCAGCACAGUAAGAGCUUGCUCUUACGGGUGGCGAGUGGCGGACGGGUGAGGAAUACAUCGGAAUCUACUUUUUCGUGGGGGAUAACGUAGGUAAACUUACGCUAAUACCGCAUACGACCUACGGGUGAAAGCAGGGGAUCUUCGGACCUUGCGCGAUUGAAUGAGCCGAUGUCGGAUUAGCUAGUUGGCGGGGUAAAGGCCCACCAAGGCGACGAUCCGUAGCUCGUCUGAGAGGCUGAUCGGCCACACUGGAGCUGAGACAGGGUCCAGACUACUAAGGGAGGCAGCAGUGGGGAAUAUUGGACAAUGGGCGCAAGCCUGAUCCAGCCAUCCCGCGUGGGUGAAGAAGGCCUUCGGGUUGUAAAGCCCUUUUGUUGGGAAAGAAAAGCAGCAGGUUAAUACCCCGCUGUUCUGACGGUACCCAAAGAAUAAGCACCGGCUAACUUCGUG